GGCUGGGGGAGCUACACAUGCAGUCGAGCGGAUGACGGGAGCUUGCUCCUUGAUUCAGCGGCGGACGGGUGAGUAAUGCCUAGGAAUCUGCCUGGUAGUGGGGGACAACGUUUCGAAAGGAACGCUAAUACCGCAUACGUCCUACGGGAGAAAGCAGGGGACCUUCGGGCCUUGCGCUAUCAGAUGAGCCUAGGUCGGAUUAGCUAGUUGGUGAGGUAAUGGCUCACCAAGGCGACGAUCCGUAACUGGUCUGAGAGGAUGAUCAGUCACACUGGAACUGAGACACGGUCCAGACUCCUACGGGAGGCAGCAGUGGGGAAUAUUGGACAAUGGGCGAAAGCCUGAUCCAGCCAUGCCGCGUGUGUGAAGAAGGUCUUCGGAUUGUAAAGCACUUUAAGUUGGGAGGAAGGGCAGUAAGCUAAUACCUUGCUGUUUUGACGUUACCGACAGAAUAAGCACCGGCUAACUCUGUGCCAGCAGCCGCGGUAAUACAGAGGGUGCAAGCGUUAAUCGGAAUUACUGGGCGUAAAGCGCGCGUAGGUGGUUCGUUAAGUUGGAUGUGAAAGCCCCGGGCUCAACCUGGGAACUGCAUCCAAAACUGGCGAGUUAGAGUACGGAAGAGGGUGGUGGAAUUUC
rnacentral:rRNA from 1 species